rnacentral:rRNA from 1 species
GAUGAACGCUAGCGAUAGGCUUAACACAUGCAAGUCGAGGGGCAGCAUGGUCUUAGCUUGCUAAGACUGAUGGCGACCGGCGCACGGGUGCGUAACGCGUAUGCAACUUGCCUCACAGAGGGGGAUAACCCGUCGAAAGACGGACUAAUACCGCGUACACUUGGGAUAGGGCAUCCUGACCCAAGGAAAUGAAAUUCGCUGUGAGAUAGGCAUGCGUCCCAUUAGCUAGUUGGUGAGGUAACGGCUCACCAAUGCGACGAUGGGUAGGGGAACUGAGAGGUUGAACCCCCACACUGGUACUGAGACACGGACCAGACUCCUACGGGAGGCAGCAGUGAGGAAUAUUGGUCAAUGGGCGAGAGCCUGAACCAGCCAAGUCGCGUGAAGGAUGACUGUCUUAUGGAUUGUAAACUUCUUUUAUACGGGAAUAACAAGAGCCACGUGUGGCUCCCUGCAUGUACCGUAUGAAUAAGCAUCGGCUAACUCCGUG